GAUGAACGCUGGCGGCGUGCCUAAUACAUGCAAGUCGAGCGAACGGACGAGAAGCUUGCUUCUCUGAUGUUAGCGGCGGACGGGUGAGUAACACGUGGAUAACCUACCUAUAAGACUGGGAUAACUUCGGGAAACCGGAGCUAAUACCGGAUGAUAUUUUGAACCGCAUGGUUCAACAGUGAAAGACGGUCUUGCUGUCACUUAUAGAUGGAUCCGCGCUGCAUUAGCUAGUUGGUAAGGUAACGGCUUACCAAGGCAACGAUGCAUAGUCGACCUGAGAGGGUGAUGGCCCAAACGGAAAUGGAGAAACGGUCAAGACUCCAAGGGAAGGAAGAGGAGGGAAAUCUUCCGAAAGGGGCGAAGGCUGGAGGAAGAAACGCGGGGGGGGUGAUGAAGGUCUUGGGAUGGUAAAACUCGGUUAUAAGGGAAAAAAAUAUGGGAAAGUAACUGGGAAGAUCUGGACGGUACCUAAUAAGAAAGCAACGGCUAACUACGU
rnacentral:rRNA from 1 species